UUUAACGGAGAGUUUGAUCCUGGCUCAGGACGAACGCUGGCGGCGUGCCUAAUACAUGCAAGUCGAGCGGACAGAAGGGAGCUUGCUCCCGGACGUUAGCGGCGGACGGGUGAGUAACACGUGGG
rnacentral:rRNA from 1 species